AGAUUCAUAAUUUCAUAAACACAAUGGCAUCCAUUCAUUCUACCUAUUUUUUUUUGUCUCAAAUUAGGGGAAUAGCACGAGAUUACAAUCACAGCAAGGCAAUGAUGGGAAAGAUGGAUGUGAAGCCAUACUUUUGAUUGCUAAGAUUCCAGGAAAAUACUUCAGUUAAUUCAGCAUUAAAUGAAUUAAGCCUUAUUAGAUUACAUUAUGAUAUUUCACCUAAAUGUAAUAAUAAUUUUUCUUAGUUAGGGAGGAAGACUUUAUUUUUUAGAGGCUAUUAAAAUCAUUUCAGGGCAUCUUUUAGAAAAUUAUUCGCCUAAAAAUAUUAUUGGAGAUGGCAAUUGUUUUUAUCGUAUAACAAGGAGGAACGUCUCUACAUGAGAGUCCUGACAUCAAUAGAAAUAAAUAUUAAAAGAAUGAAUGUAUUAUGAUUAAGAUGAUAAAUUUUACAUUAGCAAUGAAACAAUAAGUGAUGAAAGAAUAUCAACUUCUAACUACAAUCAAAUUUUAAAAGAUGCAUUAAUGGUAAUAGGGUGGGAUCAAAUGAUGCAUCAAGUGCUGCUGUGGGGGAAGCAUUUCAAUCCUACUGCCCGCCUUCUAAUUGUGGAAUAUAUAGCGCCUAUACCUCACCACUAUAAUUAUCCUGAUGUCAAAUUUUAAUCCAUAUCAUUUCUGUUUACAAUCAUUACUAUCGAGUGCCCCAAUAUUGUUAGUCAUUUGUUGCUUAGAAUUGAGGAUGCGCCAUACAUAUUUUCCAUUAGUUCAGAAUAAUUCCAAACAUAUCUUUUCAACUCCAAUCGAAUAUCCACCUUUUAUUAGCUAUUUAUCAACUAUUUUAUCUAUUAAUGAUGAUUUACUAUUCGAUUCUCCAAUUUCAGUUGACAAUGAGUAACAUAUAGAUACCGGAAAAGAAAUACAUGAACGCUCAACCCGCCAACAAUUCUCAUUAGAUAUUAAUCCACGUUAAAAGCCCAAGUCAUUAUGUCUCAGAGAGUGUUUCUCCUUUUAGUAACAAAUGGAAAUUCGAACAAAUACACAUACCUUAUCGCAUCUCUAAUCUUUACUUUUAUAAAUUAUUGAUAUUAAAUUCAUCGAAAUCUCUUUUUUAUACAUUAUUUUUUAAAUAGUCGCCAAAACGAACGUAUCAUUUUAUUUACAAAUAAAAUAUACCGCCAUUUAUAAUAUUAUCGCAAUCCCUUAUCUAAAAGAAUAUUCUCAAAAAAAUAUCAAUAUGAGGGGCUUGUCUAUCCUAUUGUGCUUGCUAAUAAAUAAUUUAAAUUAAUCUUACUAAAUAAUAACA